rnacentral:lncRNA from 1 species
GUUCUGCUAACACUGACAUCUAUCUUGCCAAUUUCAGGGCUUCUGUGUUUUUUUACAUUCUGUCAGUAUCUUUCAACCUCAUUCAGCAAGUUCCUCUCUCCCACCCCACACCAUCUUCCUCCCUCCCUCCUGGGACUCACCAUGCCUUUCCAGAACCAUUUGUUUCUUCCUGUUAUACACUGAGAGUAAAGGACAGCUUCCUUCUGCUUCUCUCUGGUCUCUCUAGGCCCUCCAAUCUCUAUCCCAACUAGAGUCCUCAGUCUUGCCAACAUGUUUAUGGGUAAAACCUGUAAGCACUGACUGAAGGCUUAAGGCAGGUGCUGUUGCCACAACACAGAUGACAUCACAGAGAAGUCCAAGGCAUCUCCAGGAUACAAUAGAAUGUCCAGAGGGUGGAUUGCUAGGGUCGCCUCCACCAACCACACCUAUCUACCUAACUAAACCACCAGAAGCCAAGAUGCCUUUUCCAGGACACUUCCCUGAGACCCACUCCAAAGUCAGAGACCCCUCCCUUCACUAAGCUACUUGUACUGCUUCGAAGACAACUCACUUGCCAAGCACAGUCCAGGAAUGACUCCUCUUCAUGUCCUUUAUUCAAAAACAUGGGAAAUGAAAAUCGGUAGGAAAGCAUAUACUGAAGACCUGAUGAGACAUCCAGCCACUUCGGGAACUGCACUACAAUAGAUUCUUGGAUCUUCCUUGAUAGGUAACCAUUGUUUGAUUAUACAGCCUAUUAUCCAUUCUAAUAAACUCUUGUAUCUUUGGGUUCAAGUCUGACAUUUAAAGGCGGAGGCAUCUUGUCAGCCCUAAAAUGUGUACCUAGGCUGGCCUUGAACUCAUUGUCCUCAUGCCUCUGGCUCCUUUAGCAAAUGUGAUUGGCAUGUGGCACCACAAUUGGCCAGAUAGAUUCUAAUACCCCCAAAUACAUGGGGUAUUAUAUAUGGAGAGAGAGAGAGAGAGAGAGAGAGAGAGAACAAGGAAGGGAAUGUGAGACUAUUUCUCUAAGUUGUUACUCUAGAAAACCUUCACUAACCCACAGCAAAACAUAAGGUGAACUCAAGCUACCUUAAGCAUAUCCAACUACAGUGAGGGAAUAGGCCAGGGUUAUGGUUAAAUCUGGUUAUGUAAGAAAAAUAAAAAAUCUCCCAGCUCUGUUCCUUUCCCACAGAGAUAAAAACAAUCACAUUUCCUUCAUGUCCUUGCUUUCAAAUACAAAUAACAAAAUCAAAGUUUUUGCAACUUGUAGCCUCCCUCAGCCUUGAAUCGGGCUGAUCCAGACUUUGACCUUGCUGCCACUAAGAAGGAGAUUACCUAGGGUAGAGCCUUCUGACCUUGAUGGCUCUAUUUGCUCUCCUCCAAGACUCUGCUUCCUGCUGAAAGAUCCUUGAGAAGUUCUGGAGACACACCCUGUAGAUCACCUAUGGGCUGGCUCCAGGCACCAAGAAUGGGCUGGCGGGGGAUGUGCCUACCCACUUUAUAAGCACAGGCUCUCAGUAAACUUGAGAGGCUUUGAACAGAAAGGUUUGUCUUAGCCUCCUUCUUUUCUUGCCUUCUGAUCUUUUUUAACCCCAGCCUGCCUUUCAGGGGAACCCAGUUCACAUGGCUGCAGGCAGCUACAGCAACUCUUUCUAGAAGGCCAUCUAUUGGGAAGAACAUUCUGACACUGACCCACAGGGAGUCACAGCUUGCCCACACAGGCUUCCACAGGAGUUUAGCAGCAAGGUGUCCCUAAAGUGGCAUAAAACUCAGUCAGCAAGUGGCAUAAAACUCAAUCUCUAGUGGAGGAAGAACUGUUCCAGCCAGUUUGACUGUCUGUGUUGGGAGUCAGGUGACUUCAUGAAUCCAGUAACUGUGUGAACACACCAAAAACACACAUACAAACACACACACGAGUGUGCACACAUGCAUAGAAUCAAUACAAGAGAGAGAUGAAUGAAGAAGGAUGAUUAGUGAAUUGAGAAGGCAAGGUGUGGAGGCUGCCUGCAGAGAUGAGAACUAAAGAGGGAGGCUUGGAAACCAUUGUGUCCUGGUGGUUUGAGAGAAGUUGCUAAUGUGAACAAUGAAGUGUGAGACAACAAAGCUUGAUGUGCUGAGCCCCUGCUACACAACAAAGAAUCCAUUGCAUGUGAUUGUUGCUCAGCUCUUUGGCCUGUAUGAAGACUUGAAGCGUCUUCCCUAGAAACUGAGAUGUAGCAGCUGAGGGACAGCACCUUCUCUACACUCCACUUCUUCACAGUCUAACCUGAACACAGUGAGGCAUGAUCAGGAGUAAACUAGCAGAUGAGACCUGCCUGGAUGCUUCUGAAAAUUCAGGCUGUGGAGGUCAACUUUCAUAUAGGUCUGUAGAGAGGUGGACAUGGUUUCCUCUGGCUCCCGUAGUACAUGCUUCGAGAGACCAAGGCCACGGCCUCCUCAGGCAUAUUCACAGCUGCUUCGGCUCCAACUUGGCUUCAGAACAUUGAAGAAUGUGCUUUCAGAGAAACACAUGGCAAAGUCUACAUGUGUUCACAUGUUAUAGAUGCCCUGAUUCCGGUCUAGGCCACACUGCAAAUGGUUGUAGACAGAGCAGCCAUGUAGACGUAUACCAUGGUCACUACACUCAUGAGUCAUUCACAGCCCAGAGAUCCAGAGGUGGCAGCUAAGAGCAAGUCUUUCUGCUGUUCUACUGGCUCACACAGUGCUUCCUGCAGUAGGAAACUGUCUGCCACCAAAAUCUGCUGUCUCAGAAACCUAACAUAAGACUUGGACAGAGCAUUUGCAUUGUCCUCUUAUUAGGGUCAGAUAGCCACUGUUCCUAAAGGAAUCCACUGGGAAGGACGUCCAUGUUCUGGAUAACUUGACUUUCUGCAACUAUGGCAAGUACAGAAGUCCAGUUGCUUCUCAGAGAACCUGGCUCCUGAUUCCCUUUUCUGGAAAGCCCAGCUCCAGCCCACCUCCUCCAGGAAGCUCCCAGGUUUUGCCCAGAGCUCACUGCACCCUGCCACCAUCACGUAUCUCUUGCUGUUUUAUCAUGCGUCUGAAGGCCAGCACCCGUCUGCUCCUCUCUGGUGUCUCUGUGCUCUCUGUCCUCUCUCCCAAGUAACCUGCUCAGUGUUGCCAACGUGCAUGGCACUGAACAAACACACCAAGAGCAGUUGUCACUACUACACUGUGACAUCACAGAGUACAACAGGGCCCCACAGGAUACAGUAGAAUCAUCAGGACCGCACAUUCCUAGGUGCUUUCCCAGUAAUGCUUCAGGCAGGUUUCCUUGGUUCUAUAGCUCCUGGUUUCAAAUACAAAAUAACAACAAACACUGAAAAAAAUCUCUCAAAUUGAGUAAAGAAAUAACAGCAAUGUAUUUCCAUGACUACAUCAGUGGAGAGUUCAACAUAACUGAGCAAUGGGAAACCAGGACUGUGUCCUGGCCUCUGUAGUCUAGACCUGUCUCACAGGCAGGUGUAGGCACACCUUGGGAUCCUCCAUAGAAACAGAGUGAGGAAGAAUGUCUGCUGAGGAGCCCACACAGCGCUGUUGAGGCCUCUCAGUGCAGGUAGCAAUGGACUCCAAGUUCCCCAUCCAGGGAGUUCCUGCUGAGGACAUUGGUCCUGUCUUACUGUGGAACCCGCAAGUUCCUGCAGGCAUCUGUCUAAGGGACAAAGACUCAUUCUUCUCAGCACCAGAAGGACAGGAGGACAAGGUCAGGAAUGCUGCCCUCCUGCAGUGAGCUAUGUGACAAAGGCCAUAUGGAAUACGUUUGUGUUGAAACCAGGGUCGUCCUGUUGUUGGGUCCCUGCUGGCCUUGUGCAACAUCUUGAGGAGCUCAAUUUUGAUCUUUAUUGGGAUUCCCAUGAUAAUGUCCUGGGACACACCUGGAACCAGCCGGACCUAGGUCGGAGAGCUGGGUUCACAGCGUGGAGGGAUCACUAUGGAUUCAGGAUUGCAGCCUUGGGACCUGAGGCCCUGCUCUAUCACGUGUCAACUGGAUGCAUUCCUUUCAUCAUUUUCCUUCCCUCCAUACUAGGUUGAUGUCCAAGGAGCCAUGUUUCUGGAUGAGCAGUGUCUGUAUAGCCCAGCUGAUCACUGCACACAAAUUCAGCUCUGUCAUCUCCCAUGGGAGUCAAAAGCAGAGAUAGAUUCAGUCUUUGAGAAACCUUAGGAACCCUGCAUGUGAUCAUAAAGAACCUUGCUUAGCUUAGUCCUAGAAGACGACAAAACAAUCAGGCUGGAAAUGCAGGUUCAGAGCUACCAAUGUCCCUAUCAGAACCCUCAGAGGCAGGCUGCCACCCCUUAGAAGGGAUGUGUGCAUAUCCCCUUCCUGACUUGUCCACCUCUUAGAAGUUCUAGGGAUUGAUUGUGCUAGGGCUUUGAAUGUCUAGAAAGCAAGCAAGAGUCCACUAUGUUCUAAGUAAAGGACACAGAGAACAACAGACUCAGAAAGGCAAAGACCAAAAUAAUUCCAAUGUUCAGUGAGAGCUCAUGUUAGCCUAGUGUGCUUCAUGCCUAGAUGCAGGCC